rnacentral:rRNA from 1 species
UACAGAGGUCCCAAGCGUUGUUCGGAUUCACUGGGCGUAAAGGGUGCGUAGGCGGUCGGGUAAGUCUGAUGUGAAAUCUCACAGCUUAACUGUGAAACUGCAUUGGAUACUACCCGGCUCGAGGAAUGGAGGGGAGACUGGAAUACUUGGUGUAGCAGUGAAAUGCGUAGAUAUCAAGUGGAACACCAGUGGCGAAGGCGAGUCUCUGGACAUUUCCUGACGCUGAGGCACGAAAGCCAGGGGAGCAAACGGG